rnacentral:rRNA from 1 species
UACGAAGGGGGCUAGCGUUGCUCGGAAUCACUGGGCGUAAAGGGCGCGUAGGCGGCCGAACAAGUCGGGGGUGAAAUCCCUCGGCUCAACCGGGGAACUGCGUCCGAUACUGGUGGGCUCGAAUCCGGGAGAGGGAUGUGGAAUUCCAGGUGUAGCGGUGAAAUGCGUAGAUAUCUGGAGGAACACCGGUGGCGAAGGCGGCAUCCUGGACCGGUAUUGACGCUGAUGCGCGAAAGCCAGGGGAGCAAACGGG